GGUGGCGCUUUUCUGCAACCUGGACUUCCCUCCACGGCUAGGUCUGCCACUUGCCCUGCUGCCGGCCAGGCUCCUGGAGGCUCCCACGGGAGCCCACGCGGCCCCGGGGAGCGGCAGCGUGCGGAGGCACACCCAGGCUGUCCAGACCCUGAGGCUGAGGCGCUUGGGGGGGUUGUUGUUGCACCUUAUGGCACUUAAUGGUCUCACUCCGUCAGAUAAGUGCUCUGCAGCCUCCCAAAAGUGAAUCCCCGGGCUCACCCCAUUAAUGGACUUACAUUUUUCCCUUGACAAUUCGGCAUUGUUUACUGAGUGUUUGCAGCUGGCAGAGAGCGAAUCAAGUUACACUGCCCAGCCAAACGCUCUCUCUUUUGGUUUUCAUCCCUACAGAGUGGCAAGAAACAGGAACAAGGUGGAGGAGGUGAAAACUGGACUCUAAAAGUGAUUGUCUUUCCCUAGAUGUCUCCAAGUGACACUUGAUCGUCCAGUCUGAGCCACAUUUAUGUUUGAUUUGGAUAAUGAUGGGUUUCAUCCAACACCUCAACUGAUAACCACGUGUCAGUGCAGUUCGGAACAGAAAAGGAUGUGCUGGCCAAAGCACGCUUGGCCUUCGGUGACUUGGAACUGGACAGACAACAUGAAGAAGGGCUAUCAUUUUGCUUGAAAUUAGACAGGCAACCUUCUAAUUCUUAAGAAGUGGAUGUGGUCUCAGCUGGGAAAUGCAAGGGUUGUAUUUUAUUUUAAAAAAUAUUUUAUUUCUAAAUAAAUGCAAGAAAUUUAAAUGCCUUCAUCCAUCAUCCAGUGCCUUCCACUCAACAGCUACAAGUUCUCAGCCAAAAUGCUAUUUGCUGUGGUCAGGAAGAGGCCACAAAUUUUGUGAGGACUAAACAUGGUGCCAUGGUGCCAACCACUCAAAGGCAGCCAGAAUCCCCAGAGAAGGAAAAAUUCUAUUGGGUUUUCUGCAGAUUUCAGAGGGCUGGGCUGGUGACAGGGAAGGGACACCAUGGGGAGACAUAAUCAGACCAUUUCACUGACUCAGCCUCAACUCUUUCCUAUAGAGACUUGUACUCUGCAGCUCAGCCCCAGAUGCCCCACCAUUACACCUAGUUGAUGAUUCAGAGCAGGUCUGAUUGUUUUUUUUUCCUGCGGGGGCCCUGAGAGGACACAUCUCUGGGACAGGCAUACACAAGCCUGCAAGGAUACAGUAGCAUUUCCCUGCAUAUGGGCUCUGACCAGCAACAUGGUCUUCUAUCUCCCCAGCUUAUUGCCCAUCUACUAUAAAACAACUGUUACAGUGCAAAGGCUGGCUAUACAGAUUACUGCUUUAAGGUUAGACUUCAAGUUUACAGACACAGCAGUCACUGAAAGCCCAAAACCCUGAAGCUAGGUGUUCUCCUGGCACAGACUUGUUCACUCUUAUGGGCUGUGCUGCCCUGCUGCACUAGUAAUGGAGUAUCACUUAAAUUUCCUUUUUCAGAGCUAUGGAAUAGAAAAACCGUUUAAAUCAAAUACACCUUGUUGGAAAACAUACAUUCUGAGAGGUUGAAUUCUGGAUGAUGCAAACUUGCUCAGCACACCCAUGGCAAUCAGAGCAGUUUGGAAAAUGUCAUCUUCUGAAAAAUCAGAAGCCAGGGAACACCAGGCUUUGUCUUCAGCAGAGAAAGAAUGUCCAUGCAGGAGAGUAUCUCUGCUCUUCAGUCUCCCCUGCUGUAAAAAGUCCUGCCCACAGGGAAGGAAAGAGAAUUGCCUCCAGAGUAGGGCUGCUGCUUUACUCGAGUCUUCUGUUUGCAGAAUGCAACUGGUUUUGUUACACCUAAGACUGUUUUAAAUGCUAGAAGAGCUGUCUCUGUUCACACCAACAUAUAAUCUUUACAUUUACCCAGCUGGAUUCUGUUACCAAGUUUCUUGUUCAUUACCUGUUUGUUUUUGCAGGAUUCUUCAAGGGUGACAAAAGCAGAAAUCAGCGGCUAAAUACAGGCAAAACAUCUCUUGUUGAUGUCCUGGCUUUUGAGGGAGGGCUUUUUCUACACCCCCGAAUUUCACAGUGUUCAGACUUAAAUAGCUAAGUUCCAGUGAUACAGAGUAGAACAACUGCAGUUGUUUUUUUACAAAGAGUCUAAUGGGAGAGAGGAAGGACUCUGUGGAAGUCAGAAAGAGGAAGAAGAAAAGUGGGUUAAAAAGAGUGUGAAGAACAUGAUGCUGUCAAAGGCAAUUUGAGAAUGGCUGAGAGAUUUAGGGAUGUAUGCAUGAGCAGUGGAGUGAUGGCACUAGACAGGGAAGCUGCUGGGGCAAAAACCUCUGUGAGGAAAAUGGUCCAAAUGAUUCCUUGUGUCACCAUGUUUCUGGAAGUGUGGACCACUGCAAAGCCUGAGAUAGCCACUGUGAAACCAAGACAUGAUAUAGGAAAAAGCCUGGCCAAAAAGCCCUAGGUGGUUUCAGACACUUACCAGCAAUGCCUUAGGGAAGCUGCUUGAGCAGUAUGUGUGUUGAAGGCAAUGGCAGCCCUGAGCCACAGACACUGCUUUGAGAUUGGAACAUGUUGCCUUUCCUCUCUGGAGCAAGACUCCACCCUCUGCACUUGUCACAAUAACUAACAAACGGGAGAUCGAACAUAUCCCUCCCCAGCCCCCAGACCUGGAAGGUCGGGUUCAAACAUAGCCUUGCCUCUCUGCUGCCACAACACUACCAGCGGGGGAAAAGCCGGUUCUCCGUGGUACGUGGGGAUGUACAUCCAUGGUGUGGAGACAGCUAGGGUAUGGGUGGGCAUCCUGAAGAGAGGUUAUCAUCACAGACUUCUAUCGCAUUACAAACAAGACGCCUCUGCCAGAGUCAUGGAGAAGAAAGUGAAUUUAUUUACAAGAAGAUUCCCCCUCACGCAUGCUCCUCCUCCUCCCCCACUGGAAACCAAGUCUGCAGACCCCGUCUUUCUGUUCAAUAUUAAAAUAAUUCAGGGCAAUGUGCCUCAGUAACACUGUGUUUGUGGUUAGGGUUCCUCUGAAACCCCCUUCUUCCUCAGAUCUGGGGAAGGGCUAUCUAUAAACAGCCUUUUCUUUCUUAGCAGAUUUAAUGAAGGACUAACAGUGUAAGUCAGAGCAGACACUGAAGAACAGCCUACAGAGCAUGAAGCAAAAGGGAAAAGAACACUGGGUUACCCUGCAGAAAUAGUGGUGCCUUGAUGUUUCGCAGACAGAAGCAGGUGAUGCAAAAUAUAUUGUGUUUUCAAGAACACACAAAAAACCUA